rnacentral:rRNA from 1 species
CCUACGGGAGGCAGCAGUGGGGAAUAUUGGACAAUGGGCGCAAGCCUGAUCCAGCAAUGCCGCGUGAGUGAUGAAGGCCUUCGGGUUGUAAAGCUCUUUUACCUGCGACGAUGAUGACGGUAGCAGGAGAAUAAGCCCCGGCUAACUUCGUGCCAGCAGCCGCGGUAAU